AUAUUUCUCCUCCUCCGCUUUAGGGGGUUGCAUUUGGUAAGUGCUUUGCUCUUCCAUCCAGCACUUAAGAAGUAGAAUGUAGGCCGGGUGCGGUGGCUCAGGCCUGUAAUCCCAGCACUUUGGGAGGCCGAGGGGGGCGGAUCACAAGCUCAAGAGAUAGAGACCAUCCUGGCCAACAGGGUGAAAGCGUGUCUCUACUAAAAAUACAAAAAUUAGCUGGCCAUGGUAGUGCACGCCUGUAGUCCCAGCUACUCCAGAGGCUGAGGCAGGAGAAUCGCUUGAACCCGGGAGACGGAGGUUGCAGUGAGCCGAGAUUGCAUCACUGCACUCUGGCCUAGCCACAGAGUAAGACUCUGUCUUAAAAAAAAAAAAAAAAAAAAAAAAAAAGCAGCAGCAGAAUGUAAUUCAGAUGGCCUCCUUAAGGAAGGAUUCCCCCACCCAAGGAGAAACGCAGGGCUUUCCCCAAGCUCUUCCCUUUAACUCUUGGUUAAAGCAGUUGGUACUGGGUUCCAGAGAAGAGCUGGGCCUUGGUAAAUUUCCCACUACCCAAAAUGAUGAUAGGAUCCCGUUGGGAGUGUCUUAGGUCAGGCCUGCCUGAGUCCUCCAAAAAUCCUUCCUCUCCGCGUUUGCAUAGCCAGAGGGCACUCCAGUAGAAAGAGAAUAGGACUUUUAGGAAAUAAGGUAGCUCUCUAACCAGGGCCAUCUCUAGCUCCCUGAGCUCUAGCUGAAGAAGGGGAGUAAGUAAGGAGGUCUCUCUCACAGUCUCACACAAAGCAGACUGCUCACAAAUUGACUGGAGGUAAAGCACCCAGGAAGCAACUGGCUACAAAAGCUGCUCCAGCUGGGCGAGAUGGCUCAUGCCUGUAAUUUCAGCACUUCAGGAGGCCGAGGCGGGCGGAUCACGUGUGGCCUGGAGUUCGACACCAGCCUGCCCAACAUGGCAGAACCCCGACUCUACUAAAAAAAAUACAAAAACGGCCGGGAGCGGGGCUCACACCUGUAAUCUCAGCCCUUUGGGAGGCCGAGCGGGUGGAUCAUCUGAGGUCAGGAGUUCGAAACCAGCCUGGUCAACGUGGUGAAACCCCCGUCUCCACUAAAAAUACAAAAAUUAGCCUGGCGUGGUGGCACGCACCUGUAAUCCCAGCUACUCUGGAGGCUGAGGCAGGAGAAUCGCUGGAACCCAGGAGGCUGAGGUUGCAGUAAGCCGAGAUCGUGCACUGCACUCCAGCCUGGGCGACAGCAAGACUCUGUCUCAGGAAAAAAACCCAAAAAACAACGCACACACACUCCCCCCGACCUCCCACAAAAACUGCUCACAAGCGUGUGCCCUCUACUGGAGGGUGAAGAAACCUCGUCAUUACAGGCCUGGUACUGUGGUACUCCCUGAAAUUAGACAUUAUCAGACAUCUACUGAACUGAUUCGCAAACUUCCCUUCCAGCAUCUGGUGUGAGAAAUUGCUCAGGACUUUAAAAGAGAUUUGCCCUUCCAGAGUGCAGCUUAGUGGUGCCUUGCAGGAGGCAAGCAAAGCCUAUCUGGUUGGCCUUUUGAAGACACCAACCUGUGUGUUGUCCAUGCCACACGUGUAACACCUAUGUCAAAAGACAUCCAGUUAGCAUGCUGCAUGCGUGAAGAAUGUACUUAAGAAUCCAUUAUGAUAGGGGAAACUUCAUUCUCAAAAAAAAAAAAAAAAAAGUCUCUGCUUCCUGUUAUUGGCAGUUCUGAAUGUUAGAUUUUUUUCCCCCAUGGGGUCAAAAGGUACCUAAGUAUAUGACUGUGAGCAGAAUAGGAGACAGAAGUCAGGUGUUGUCAGUUUUUCAAUUUUCAUGUGUGUGUGAAUUUUUAAUAAAAAUGUGGGUGGGGAAGUAAAGCAUUAAUGCAAGUC